rnacentral:rRNA from 1 species
GCCUAACACAUGCAAGUCGAGCGGCAGCACAAGUAAGUUUACUUAUGAGGUGGCGAGCGGCGGACGGGUGAGUAAUGCCUAGGGAUCUGCCCAGUCGAGGGGGAUAACAGUUGGAAACGACUGCUAAUACCGCAUACGCCCUACGGGGGAAAGAGGGGGACCUUCGGGCCUCUCGCGAUUGGAUGAACCUAGGUGGGAUUAGCUAGUUGGUGAGGUAAUGGCUCACCGAGGCGACGAUCCCUAGCUGUUCUGAGAGGAUGAUCAGCCACACUGGGACUGAGACACGGCCCAGACUCCUACGGGAGGCAGCAGUGGGGAAUAUUGCACAAUGGGGGAAACCCUGAUGCAGCCAUGCCGCGUGUGUGAAGAAGGCCUUCGGGUUGUAAAGCACUUUCAGUAGGGAGGAAAGGGUGAGUCUUAAUACGGCUCAUCUGUGACGUUACCUACAGAAGAAGGACCGGCUAACUCCGUGCCAGCAGCCGCGGUAAUACGGAGGGUCCGAGCGUUAAUCGGAAUUACUGGGCGUAAAGCGUGCGCAGGCGGGUUGUUAAGCG